rnacentral:rRNA from 1 species
GCAACGCGAAGAACCUUACCAGGCCUUGACAUGCAGAGAACUUUCCAGAGAUGGAUUGGUGGCCUUCGGGAACUCUGACACAGGUGCUGCAUGGCUGUCGUCAGCUCGUGUCGUGAGAUGUUGGGUUAAGUCCCGUAACGAGCGCAACCCUUGUCCUUAGUUACCAUCACGUUAUGGUGGGCACUCUAAGGAGACUGCCGGUGACAAACCGGAGGAAGGUGGGGAUGACGUCAAGCCAUCAUGGCCCUUACGGCCUGGGCUACACACGUGCUACAAUGGUCGGUACAAAGGGUUGCCAAGCCGCGAGGUGGAGCUAAUCCCAUAAAACCGAUCGUAGUCCGGAUCGCAGUCUGCAACUCGACUGCGUGAAGUCGGAAUCGCUAGUAAUCGUGAAUCAGAAUGUCACGGUGAAUACGUUCCCGGGCCUU